rnacentral:lncRNA from 1 species
AAAGUUUAGUUUUGGGGCAUUUAAUUACUGUUAGAAAAGAUGGGCUUUGUUUCUGAACACCAAGAGGGGGGGGGGGGAAUUGGUGUUUUAUAAAAAUGAUCGCUUUUGAAAUCUUUUUUUGCAAAUACUAUAAGUCUUUAAACCUUUCUUGAGCAACAAGUCGAUUAAUGUAGAGAAGCAGAGAGAAGAAAAUUCAAACUCUGAGUUCAUACUGGUUCGGCCUCAACUGCCUA